rnacentral:rRNA from 1 species
UACGUAGGGGGCAAGCGUUGUCCGGAAUCAUUGGGCGUAAAGAGCGUGUAGGCGGCCCGAUAAGUCCGCCGUGAAAGUCCAGGGCUCAACCCUGGAAAGCCGGUGGAUACUGUCGGGCUAGAGUCCGGAAGAGGCGAGUGGAAUUCCUGGUGUAGCGGUGGAAUGCGCAGAUAUCAGGAGGAACACCAAUGGCGAAGGCAGCUCGCUGGGACGGUACUGACGCUAAGGCGCGAAAGCGUGGGGAGCGAACAGG